CCUAAGGUAGCGAAAUUCCUUGUCGGGUAAGUUCCGACCUGCACGAAUGGCGUAAUGAUGGCCAGGCUGUCUCCACCCGAGACUCAGUGAAAUUGAACUCGCUGUGAAGAUGCAGUGUACCCGCGGCAAGACGGAAAGACCCCGUGAACCUUUACUAUAGCUUGACACUGAACAUUGAGCCUUGAUGUGUAGGAUAGGUGGGAGGCUUUGAAGCGUGGACGCCAGUCUGCGUGGAGCCAACCUUGAAAUACCACCCUUUAAUGUUUGAUGUUCUAACGUUGGCCCCUGACCGGGGUUGCGGACAGUGUCUGGUGGGUAGUUUGACUGGGGCGGUCUCCUCCCAAAGCGUAACGGAGGAGCACGAAGGUUAGCUAAUCCUGGUCGGACAUCAGGAGGUUAGUGCAAUGGCAUAAGCUAGCUUGACUGCGAGCGUGACGGCGCGAGCAGGUGCGAAAGCAGGUCAUAGUGAUCCGGUGGUUCUGAAUGGAAGGGCCAUCGCUCAACGGAUAAAAGGUACUCCGGGGAUAACAGGCUGAUACCGCCCAAGAGUUCAUAUCGACGGCGGUGUUUGGCACCUCGAUGUCGGCUCAUCACAUCCUGGGGCUGAAGUAGGUCCCAAGGGUAUGGCUGUUCGCCAUUUAAAGUGGUACGCGAGCUGGGUUUAGAACGUCGUGAGACAGUUCGGUCCCUAUCUGCCGUGGGCGCUGGAGAAUUGAGGGGGGCUGCUCCUAGUACGAGAGGACCGGAGUGGACGCAUCACUGGUGUUCGGGUUGUCAUGCCAAUGGCACUGCCCGGUAGCUAAAUGCGGAAGAGAUAAGUGCUGAAAGCAUCUAAGCACGAAACUUGCCCCGAGAUGAGUUCUCCCUGAGACUUUAAGUCUCCUGAAGGAACGUUGAAGACGACGACGUUGAUAGGCCGGGUGUGUAAGCGCAGCGAUGCGUUGAGCUAACCGGUACUAAUGAACCGUGAGGCUUAACCUU
rnacentral:rRNA from 1 species